AAUACCUGGAGACUAGGAAACUCCUGUGCAAAAGCACAGAAUGCCUGGCUGCCAUAGCAUUGUCCUUCACAAGUCUGCCCUUCUUCCCAGACCUAGGAUGCCCAGCCUCCUCCCUCUGAGCUAUGAAGCCAACUAUGCAGGCACUAUCUUGUUUCUAUGGAUAUGCUCUUGGAAGGGCUGUGAAUCAGAUCACUACUCCUUCACAGAUUUUCCCCAGGAGCUGCAUUGGAAUUGAAGAAGGGUUAUUUUAGCAGAUGCAUGCAUAACUCCUUCACACUUACAGCUUUAGAUGAAAUGAUAAAGGAGUGUGCUGUUUACUAUUUUCUUCUGA